rnacentral:rRNA from 1 species
CACGAACGCUGGCGGCAGGCUUAACACAUGCAAGUCGAGCGCCCCGCAAGGGGAGCGGCAGACGGGUGAGUAACGCGUGGGAAUCUACCCAUCUCUACGGAAUAACGCAUGGAAACGUGUGCUAAUACCGUAUACGUCCUUCGGGAGAAAGAUCUAUCGGAGAUGGAUGAGCCCGCGUUGGAUUAGCUAGUUGGUGGGGUAAAGGCCUACCAAGGCGACGAUCCAUAGCUGGUCUGAGAGGAUGAUCAGCCACACUGGGACUGAGACACGGCCCAGACUCCUACGGGAGGCAGCGGUGGGGAAUAUUGGACAAUGGGCGCAAGCCUGAUCCAGCCAUGCCGCGUGAGUGAUGAAGGCCCUAGGGUUGUAAAGCUCUUUCACCGGUGAAGAUAAUGACGGUAACCGGAGAAGAAGCCCCGGCUAACUUCGUGCCAGCAGCCGCGGUAAAAC